GUCAAGUCAUCAUGGCCCUUAUGUCCAGGGCUACACACGUGCUACAAUGGGGGGUACAAAGCGACGCGAGCCCGCGAGGGUUGAGCGAACCGCCGAAAGCCUUCCGUAGUUCGGAUUGAAGUCUGAAACCCGACUUCAUGAAGUUGGAAUCGCUAGUAAUCGCGCAUCAGCAUGGCGCGGUGAAUACGUUCCCGGGCCUU
rnacentral:rRNA from 1 species